rnacentral:misc_RNA from 1 species
AAACCCUCACCCUGGCGAUGUUGACUCGUCGCCCGUGGUGGAUUUGGACUGUGCCGUAGUUGGCUCGUCCUUAAAUGCAUUAGCUUGUGCCAGUUAGAGUGCUCGGUGCGGUGUGAUAAUUAUCUACGCCGUCGCCUCAUGCCUCUUCUUGUGGUGCUGCUUACAGUCGUCCCUUCCCGGGACAAACGUAAAAACACAAAG